GUAAGAUUAAGAAACAUAAUGCAAGAAGGAUUUUUCCAAGGAGUUGAUCUCCUUUGGAAUACUCUGUAAUGAUUGUUGCGAAGUCUUUGUGAAUUUAUGCAUAAUCAUUAUAAGAGGAUCAAUGCAUAUAAGUUUAGAAUCUAACAGAUUUUAGUAAAUGGCAUGAAUUUGGAAUUCUUGCAUUUGUAGUAAGGAAUUGGGACUGUGAAAUGAGAAUCAUUGAAGUUAUGUUCAACUGGUCUAUUUCGCAAAGUAAAGAUCAUAGACAAACAUAGUAUGCAUACUUGGUGUGUGGCAUGACUAGUGUUUAGAAAACAUAGUGUACAUGCUUGAAGCAUGGUACAACUAUUGUUUUUAAUUCAAGUAUAAAGUUGAUAAAACCGAAACAAUGAAUAAUGAGUAAUCAGUAUGGUGAUAAAUAAAAGUGUUUAUUUAUAUUCAUAGGGUUUGAUACCAUAUUUGAUUCAUUUAUUCUUGUGUUUCACUUUGCAUGUUUUGACUUCCAGAAUAAACUAGGUUAUUCUUUUGGAAUGACUAAGUUAUUCAAACCAUCCACAGUCGGUCAUAUGUUGGAAGUAGAUAUGAAUUAAGACUGUCAUGGGUUGGCUUGUAGAGGUCUAAGAUGUUGGACAAAGGGCUACAACACUCAUGAGUGCUCAUAAGUUCUGAGUAUUGGAUUCAACCCGCGCUCAUUGGAAUCACUUCAUGGAUUUUAUCACGAGUGAUCAUGAGACGAUAAUNAAACCAUCCACAGUCGGUCAUAUGUUGGAAGUAGAUAUGAAUCAAGACUGUCAUGGGUUGGCUUGUAGAGGUCCAAGUUGGUGGACAAAGUUGUGCUACAACACUCAUGAGUGCUCAUACGUUCUGAGCAUU
rnacentral:lncRNA from 1 species